GACAGAGGGGGCAAGCGUUGCUCGGAAUCACUGGGCGUAAAGGGCGCGUAGGCGGGAUGGCAAGUCAGCCGUGAAAUCUCUCGGCUCAACCGAGAAACGUCGGCUGAUACUGCCGUUCUUGAGGGAUGCAGAGGAGACUGGAAUUCCCGGUGUAGCGGUGAAAUGUGUAGAGAUCGGGAGGAACACCGGUGGCGAAGGCGGGUCUCUGGGCAUUUCCUGACGCUGAGGCGCGAAAGCGUGGGGAGCAAACGGG
rnacentral:rRNA from 1 species